rnacentral:lncRNA from 1 species
AGGUGGUAUUUGCUUUUGCUUUCCAUCAUAGAAACAUGUUUACUUUUCUUCAUAGAAAUAUUAGUGAAGAAUUGAGCACAUGAAGAGUUUGGCAUGUUUAGCUUCAUAAUUUUCUCAGAAAAGAGAAAGAUAAAAGCAAAGGAAAUGUUCACGCCCUUCCACAAACCUGCUGUCAUUUUCCUCAUCCUUGUUCCAAACACCAGCAGACAACAUUCCACAGUGAUCACACAGUGACAAAGCCUUUAAACUUAGUAUAUCAAAAUGUAAGACUUUGGUAGUGUUACCAUGAGCUAACUCACAGUCACAUUUUUGAGAGUCCUUAUUUAAGAGCAAACCUCAAAUAAGGACACCUGCCUUCACACUUGUUUUAUUUACCUUGGAACAAUUUAAUUUGAAUUUUCUUGGCUUCAGUCAAAUUAUAAUGUAUGAUGAAUUGGUUUAGGUUGAGGGCUAUGAUAUUACUGCAUGCAUUUCAAAAUUACUUUCUGGCCGUCUUGUCAAAGGAGCAAAACUUGUCUGGAGAUGAAGAAACAGAUGAUGAUGAUGAAGAUGAAGAAGCAGCAGCAGUAGAAGAAGAUGUGGAAGAAGAAGCAGUUGAAGAAGAAGAAGAGGAAGAAGAGGGAGAAGAUGGAGAAACAGAAGCAGAAGAAACAGUAAAAGAAGAAAUGGAGGAAAAACACGAAGUAGAGAAACAUAGUAAAACACCUGAGGGAGAGAAAAAUGAUAAUAGCACAGUGGAAACUGUAGAGACAGAAGAGACUACUCAGAAAGAGACCAUCAUUCAGCAGGAGAAAGAAAGUACUGACAAUCACACUGUGAAUGAUUCUUCAGA